rnacentral:lncRNA from 1 species
AUUUUUGGUAAAGUUUUGCCACUUGUGUAACUAUUUGUAGCUUCUGGAGCCAGAAGUUUUAUACAUGAAAAGGCAAGACUACCAGAAGGCAGAGUACUCCAAUUUUUAGAAAUUAGGGAUGCUGUUUUUAUGUUGGACCUUGUAUAUCUCAGGACCGGGAUGACGUUGGCUCCAAGAUGUCCUACCUAGCCAAUCACUUUGCAGUUUCCAUCUGACUCAGUCAAGACACCUGAGGCCUCCCUCACCUAAGCCUGCAAGAAAAGGAAUCCACAUACCCACAGAUUCUCAAUCUAGUCUUUGAUUUCCCUAAACAUGCUGUUACUUUAGAAUUCAUGUUGUUAAUUUCACUGUGUGAAACCCUUGUAUAUUUGUUUCUGUUGUCUGU